AGUCGAACGAGAAGGUUUUGAUGGAUCCUUCGGGUGACAUUAGAACUGGAAAGUGGCGAACGGGUGAGUAACGCGUGGGUAACCUGCCCUAUGGAAAGGAAUAGCCUCGGGAAACUGGGAGUAAAGCCUUAUAUUAUGGUUUUGUCGCAUGGCAAGAUCAUGAAAACUCCGGUGCCAUAGGAUGGACCCGCGUCCCAUUAGCUAGUUGGUGAGAUAACAGCCCACCAAGGCGACGAUGGGUAACCGGUCUGAGAGGGCGAACGGUCACACUGGAACUGAGACACGGUCCAGACUCCUACGGGAGGCAGCAGUGGGGAAUAUUGCGCAAUGGGGGCAACCCUGACGCAGCAAUACCGCGUGAGUGAAGAAGGUUUUCGGAUCGUAAAGCUCUGUUAUUGGGGAAGAAGAAUGACGGUACCCAAUGAGGAAGUCCCGGCUAACUACGUGCCAGCAGCCGCGGUAAUACGUAGGGGACAAGCGUUGUCCGGAAUGACUGGGCGUAAAGGGCGCGUAGGCGGUCUAUUAAGUCUGGUGUGAAAGGUACCGGCUCAACCGGUGAAGUGCAUUGGAAACUGGUAGACUUGAGUAUUGGAGAGGCAAGUGGAAUUCCUAGUGUAGCGGUGAAAUGCGUAGAUAUUAGGAGGAAC
rnacentral:rRNA from 1 species